rnacentral:rRNA from 1 species
GGUAGAGAGAAGCUUGCUUCUCUUGAGAGCGGCGGACGGGUGAGUAAUGCCUAGGAAUCUGCCUGGUAGUGGGGGAUAACGCUCGGAAACGGACGCUAAUACCGCAUACGUCCUACGGGAGAAAGCAGGGGACCUUCGGGCCUUGCGCUAUCAGAUGAGCCUAGGUCGGAUUAGCUAGUUGGUGAGGUAAUGGCUCACCAAGGCGACGAUCCGUAACUGGUCUGAGAGGAUGAUCAGUCACACUGGAACUGAGACACGGUCCAGACUCCUACGGGAGGCAGCAGUGGGGAAUAUUGGACAAUGGGCGAAAGCCUGAUCCAGCCAUGCCGCGUGUGUGAAGAAGGUCUUCGGAUUGUAAAGCACUUUAAGUUGGGAGGAAGGGCAUUAACCUAAUACG